GUGACAGCGAGUACCCUCGCGAGAAUCAAUAAUUUCGCCGUUGGGAGGAGACGACCUAUUGGGUCGUUUGUUGUCAGUCAUCGGUUAUCAAUCGGAGUCGGCGAUGCUCGGUCUACCCGGUCGUACGUACCUCGAAGGUCGAACGUCGUAUCGCAUGCCGGGAUCCGACUGGUUCCUCUCGGCCUUUGGUCGCAUCGCUCCGCGAGACGGAGGUUACACUCGCAAUUCCAGUGUACACUCGCCCGUUCCCCCCCCCGCUCGCCGCACCGCUCUACUCGUCGCCAAUUUGCAUCUACAUAGAGACAUCCUUUCGUUAAUUAGAUUGAUUGCCGCGAUGCAGCGGCGAUAUAAUUGCCAGUUGGCCGGGACGUACGAUUACUCGGAGGUCAAUGAAUUCCAUCAGCCGGCGAUCGAACGCCGACGUUUUCAUUGGGCGCGACUCGGAGAUGUUAAUUGCCCAGGAGGUUGACGAUUACGCCACACCUUAAUAUUAUUAUAUAUUUGCGGUCAGAUAUACUCGCGACGCGCAUCGAUGAUAACGUAGAAUUGUGUCGAGAAUCCGAUCGCAUCUCGGCGGUCAUAGGUACGUACGUACGGUGGAACCGUGAGAGAGUCGCGAACUUGAUUCUUCCGUAGCCCAUAUACGUUAUGUGCGAUCGAGCGGGCGGUGGGUGUCUACGAACGAUAUCUAAUUUACCCCGUCCAUUCGUUAUGCAGCGGGGGGAUGACUGGGUCGGAUAUAGGAUAUCGGAGUUGACGUUAACCUCUUGUCGCUCUUCAGCUGCCUGUAUUGUUCGUUAUUCUAAUUGCGUUACACGUGCAGCCCUCGGAUGAACGAAUUUUCACCGCUACGAGAGGGCGGAGGAGUGACUCGGUUCGGUGAAAUGUGUACGACGUUCAAUUUCGCGUACACAGCAGAAGUUCGCGUAAAUAGAGAAAUUCUAACGUCGCGUUAUUUAUGUUUCCCCACUCGUUUGAUCGAAGACUCGGCUAAUUGGGUCAGCCCAUGUCUAAUUGAAACGCGGUUGCCAGGCGCAGGCAAUUUCGCUCCUAUUUCUGAGCGCGGGGCAGGCGGCGCGAUGCGGCCGAUGCCUUCGGGUGACGGUGGUGCUGCAACUCGAACGAACGGAAAUUAGAUUUCGUACUCGGUUUCUUAUCUGCCGUGGCUGGACCCGACCUCGGCCCGCCUGAAUUUCCAGCAGCUCUUUCCUCGAAACCGGCGCCCGUUGGAUAAAGUACACGUACAGCGCGAGCGAAUGAGAUUUCACCAAAGCGGAAAAAUGUAUAAUCCCGGUGUACAAAAUAACGAAACGGCGAUAGACGUUGGCUCGCCGAUUGGCCCAUAGCGGGAAUAACGCAGGAGCGAAUGAAACGCGUAUAUAUCGCAGUUCGUUGCGGAACACGUACGACGUUCGCGCGACGCGACGCUGAGUCGUACGGGAGUCGCGAGUGCACCCGAUACCGCGCGACAUGUAGGUCGUACCGCAAAUAAUAAUUGCUACCAAUUAAUUUUGAUAGUAAUUCGACGCGGUCCGCACGCGGUACACGCGGUGUGACGUAAGCGAAUCGCAGCGUAUAUGCGAGAGAAGCAAUUUGUUUCCGGAAACUUGAAAUAUCGGUUUGAUUGCGUUCGAACCUCCGUUGAGGUCUCGCGAUUGUCGCUAUAAAUAAACCCGACGUUGUAAUUCCGCGUCUGCAUCUGCAUCAGCGGGGCGAAUCGCGUCGGAAUUAUUGGAUAUUCCGCUGCGGCGAGCGCGGCGCAGCCGUUAUAAAUACGGGGAAGAUUUCGGGUAACGAACCGAUCGUAUAUUUUGAUUUCUUCGGGGGAGCAUCGCCGCCGCAGCGGUGCGCCGAGUGUAGUUCACCGAGAGAAACAACCUACUUUUGAAGAGUAAAGACAAUCCGUACGGCGCGGCAGCGCGGCGCACCAGCCGCAGCGUAUGGCCAUAACAGCGAGACGGUCAGAAGAAAGCAAUACACCAAUAGUUAUAUGGAAGCUGCACGAAUACAAGCGUCUUGUUGGACUCCGCGAGGUACAUACACAACAAGUAUACAGAAGUAACAACGAGUUUCCGAUUAAGGCCUUAUAAUUGACGUCUCGACCCCCCCAGACUGCCUUAGUCACCAACUGGAAGCGUCCGCGGACCCGCUUUUGCACCAGAUCAACGCACCGCUGGGUGCAGGAUAAACUAUACCCCGGGCUUGCACCCGAUGGACGUACGGUAGAUAAGUAAUCGGACAAACGUUGGAAUUGUUCGAGCGAAAUGCGCAUCGUCAGCCUCACGAGGAGACGGAAGGAGGAGCGGAGUUGACUGGGAAAAAAGCCAGCUGGUGUCCGCGCCGCGGUGAAAAGGAGAAACGAGGGACCGCGCGGAGCAGGAUGUCGUUGGAAAAAGAAGAAACAAGAGGGGGGCAAAAAAAAAAGAAAAAAAAAAAAAGAACUGCAUCGUCUCUCAUGUAUAAUAAAAUAUGAUGAAACAUA